GCCUAUAUUCAUAUAUUUAUCUGGCUCAGGGUUGGUAACUUGGCCUUUUUGCGGCCAAAUAACUCGAUUUUGGCUUUUUUAUUUCUUGCUUGGCCUUGAAAAAAAUGUUUGGCCUUUUGGCUCUAUUUUGGCUUUUUUUUAUCAAGUGACAGGAAUUUUCACUAUUCUUUAGUAUAAUUUAUUAUGAAGGAAUGUUAAACUAUAAAGCAACAUGUAAGAAUGUAAGAAUUGUGUACCGUUGACAUAGGAUAAACUAAUUUUAUUGACACUCAAUCAGAUCUUAGGAAAUUCAACCAAUCAUAAAGCUGAAAAACUAACCAAUGACAACAUUGUAGCUUUUCAUGUAAAAGUUGGAAACAUUU